CUCUUGCCAUCGGAUGUGCCCAGAUGGGAUUAGCUAGUAGGUGGGGUAACGGCUCACCUAGGCGACGAUCCCUAGCUGGUCUGAGAGGAUGACCAGCCACACUGGAACUGAGACACGGUCCAGACUCCUACGGGAGGCAGCAGUGGGGAAUAUUGCACAAUGGGCGCAAGCCUGAUGCAGCCAUGCCGCGUGUAUGAAGAAGGCCUUCGGGUUGUAAAGUACUUUCAGCGGGGAGGAA
rnacentral:rRNA from 1 species